rnacentral:lncRNA from 10 species
UGAUGGUGUCAUGAAUUAAGGUAGACAUAGGGGAGUGCUGAUGAGGAGCUGUGAAUGGAUUUUAGAAACACUUGAGAGAAUCAAUAGGACAUGAUUUAGGGUUGGAUUUGGAAAGGAGAAGAAAGUAGAAAAGAUGAUGCCUACAUUUUUCACUUAGGCAAUUUGUACCAUUCAGUGAAAUAGGAAACACAGGAGGAAGAGCAGGUUUUGGUGUAUACAAAGAGGAGGAUGGAUGACGCAUUUCGUUUUGGAUCUGAGAUGUCUGUGGAACGUCCUAGUGGAGAUGUCCAAAAACUCUUCUACAUGUGGUUCUGAGUUCAGGACAAAGAUUUGGGCUGGAGAUAGAGAUAUUGAAGGCUUAUGCAUAGAAAUGGCAUUUGAAUCUAUAGAGAUAAAAAGACAAAUCAGAGGAAAUGUGUAAAGUGAGAGAGGAAAAGCCAAGUACUGAACUGGGGGGAAUACCUACAUUUAAAGGAUGCAGUAGAAAGAAGCUAAUAAACAACAGAGAGCAGACUAACCAAAAGGGAAGAAGAAAAACCAAGAGAAUUCCACCGACUCCCAGGAGAGCAUUUCAAGAUUGAGGGGAUAGGUGUUGUGUUGAAUUUUGCAGCCUUGAGAAUCAAGGGCCAGAACACAGCUUUUAGAUUUAGCAACAAGGAGUUUGGUGAUCUCAGUGAAAGCAGCUUGAUGGUGAAAUGGAGGCAGAGGCAGAUUGCAAUGAGUGAAACAGUGAAUGGAAAGUGAAGAAAUGAUACAGAUAAUUCUUGCUAAAAGCUUGGCUGUUAAAAGGAGGAGAGAAACAAGACUAGCUGCAAAGUGAGAUUGGGUUGAUGGAGCAGUUUUAAAUCUCAAAAUAAAGAGCUUUGUGCUUUUUUGAUUAUGAAAAUAAUGUGUUAAUUGUAACUAAUUGAGGCAAUGAAAAAAGAUAAUAAUAUGAAAGAUAAAAAUAUAAAAACCAC